GACAGAGGGGGCGAGCGUUGUCCGGAGUCACUGGGCGUAAAGCGCGCGCAGGCGGCAACCUUAGUGUCGUGUGAAAGCCCCCGGCUCAACCGGGGGAGGCCAUGUCAAACUGGGUCGCUCGAGCUGCGGAGAGGCCCCUCGAAUUGCCGGUGUAGCGGUGAAAUGCGUAGAGAUCGGCAGGAAGACCAAGGGGGAAGGCAGGGGGCUGGCCGCAGGCUGACGCUGAGGCGCGACAGCGUGGGGAGCAAACCGG
rnacentral:rRNA from 1 species